rnacentral:tRNA from 1 species
GCCUGGGUGGCUCAGUCGGUUGGGCGUCCGACUUCGGCUCAGGUCAUGACUCAUGGUUUGUGAGUUCGAGCCCCACGUCAGGCU